GGCGUGACACGGAAAGUGCCGGCAUUUCGGGACGCUUGGAGCUUGGACUUGACUAUGGGGUGUUCUAGCAGAUUCCCGGCAGGCGGAAGGGCAGCCGGGUACCUAAGAUUUAACUUACCGUGGUCCUGGAAGGUUCGUGAUUGCUGAGCGUCCGUCCCUGCUGGAUUGGUUGUUUCACCUCCCUAUGAACAUCCUGUGUCUGAAUGAGCUGCCUCCUCUGGUGGAAGGUUUUAAUCUUGGAGGAAACUGUUAAAGAGCAGAUUUUGAUAUGGUUCAGCUGGGAAAGGCACUUGCCUGAAUUUGAUCCUCAUGUCCGACAUGGUACAAGAGGAGAACUGACUCUAGUGAGUUGUCCUCAGGCUGCCAUAUGUGUACCAUAGCAUGUGCAUGCCCACCCACCACCCACCCCCAAAAUGUAAUUUUUAAAGUAUUUUUUGUCCCUACUGUUGAAGAUUAUAAGUGUAAUUGUAUAGAAAUAAACUACUUUCUCCACUAAU
ensembl:antisense Gm27003 predicted gene, 27003